AUCAGUAACAAUGAUGUCAUAAUGUGUGACAGACCUCACAAAAAAGUCACAACGUGAGACAAACUUCUUUUCAGUUAAGUCUGCAUUCCUGUGUCUGCCUGGAUUUUUUGUGCACUGUCGUGCUAUUGUACAGCUAGGGAACCUUAUAAAGGAUUGAAAGCAAGCUGAGGCCUAGGUGAAAGUUACCCUGGGAAUAACGGGGAACCUAUGAGUAAUGAUCUCCUUGAUACAAGACAAGAAUCUCAGUGUCCUCAACAACACCCUCCUGCAGCAGCCUCCUCAAACUCAGAGCACUGGGCCUGGAGAUGGGGAAAUACAACUCAGCAACAAUGGGAACAAACUACUGACAUGGUAACUCUAACGGAUCCAAAUCAUCAUAUGUGAAACAAGCCAGAGAAAAAGAACUCAUCAUUUCUAUAAAGCCCUAGAAAAUGCGAACUCACCCACAGUGGUGAGUGCCUGGGAAGGGUGUGAUCAGAGGGUGAGAAAACUUGUGGAGGAAAUGGAUGUGUUCAUUAUCUUGACUGUGGUGGUAUUUCAUGCAUAUGUU
rnacentral:lncRNA from 1 species